GACGAACGUUGGCGGCGUGCUUAACACAUGCAAGUCGAACGGAAAGGCCCUGCUUUUGUGGGGUGCUCGAGUGGCGAACGGGUGAGUAACACGUGAGUAACCUGCCCUUGACUUUGGGAUAACUUCAGGAAACUGGGGCUAAUACCGGAUAGGAGCUCCUGCUGCAUGGUGGGGGUCGGAAAGUUUCGGCGGUUGGGGAUGGACUCGCGGCUUAUCAGCUUGUUGGUGGGGUAGUGGCUUACCAAGGCUUUGACGGGUAGCCGGCCUGAGAGGGUGACCGGCCACAUUGGGACUGAGAUACGGCCCAGACUCCUACGGGAGGCAGCAGUGGGGAAUAUUGCACAAUGGGCGGAAGCCUGAUGCAGCAACGCCGCGUGCGGGAUGACGGCCUUCGGGUUGUAAACCGCUUUCGCCUGUGACGAAGCGUGAGUGACGGUAAUGGGUAAAGAAGCACCGGCUAACUACGUGCCAGCAGCCGCGGUGAUACGUAGGGUGCGAGCGUUGUCCGGAUUUAUUGGGCGUAAAGGGCUCGUAGGUGGUUGAUCGCGUCGGAAGUGUAAUCUUGGGGCUUAACCCUGAGCGUGCUUUCGAUACGGGUUGACUUGAGGAAGGUAGGGGAGAAUGGAAUUCCUGGUGGAGCGGUGGAAUGCGCAGAUAUCAGGAGGAACACCAGUGGCGAAGGCGGUUCUCUGGGCCUUUCCUGACGCUGAGGAGCGAAAGCGUGGGGAGCGAACAGGCUUAGAUACCCUGGUAGUCCACGCUGUAAACGGUGGGUACUAGGUGUGGGGUCCAUUCCACGGGUUCCGUGCCGUAGCUAACGCUUUAAGUACCCCGCCUGGGGAGUACGGCCGCAAGGCUAAAACUCAAAGGAAUUGACGGGGCCCCGCACAAGCGGCGGAGCAUGCGGAUUAAUUCGAUGCAACGCGUAGAACCUUACCUGGGUUUGACAUGGAUCGGGAGUGCUCAGAGAUGGGUGUGCCUCUUUUGGGGUCGGUUCACAGGUGGUGCAUGGCUGUCGUCAGCUCGUGUCGUGAGAUGUUGGGUUAAGUCCCGCAACGAGCGCAACCCUUGUUCACUGUUGCCAGCACGUUAUGGUGGGGACUCAGUGGAGACCGCCGGGGUCAACUCGGAGGAAGGUGGGGAUGACGUCAAGUCAUCAUGCCCCUUAUGUCCAGGGCUUCACGCAUGCUACAAUGGCUGGUACAGAGAGUGGCGAGCCUGUGAGGGUGAGCGAAUCUCGGAAAGCCGGUCUCAGUUCGGAUUGGGGUCUGCAACUCGACCUCAUGAAGUCGGAGUCGCUAGUAAUCGCAGAUCAGCAACGCUGCGGUGAAUACGUUCCCGGGGCU
rnacentral:rRNA from 1 species